GAUGAACGCUGGCGGCGUGCCUAAUACAUGCAAGUCGAGCGAACGGACGAGAAGCUUGCUUCUCUGAUGUUAGCGGCGGACGGGUGAGUAACACGUGGAUAACCUACCUAUAAGACUGGGAUAACUUCGGGAAACCGUAGCUAAUACCGGAUAAUAUUUUGAACCGUAUGGUUCAAAAGUGAAAGACGGUCUUGCUGUCACUUAUAGAUGGAUCCGCGCUGCAUUAGCUAGUUGGUAAGGUAACGGCUUACCAAGGCAACGAUGCAUAGCCGACCUGAGAGGGUGAUCGGCCACACUGGAACUGAGACACGGUCCAGACUCCUACGGGAGGCAGCAGUAGGGAAUCUUCCGCAAUGGGCGAAAGCCUGGCGGAGCAACGCCGCGUGAGUGAUGAAGGUCUUCGGAUCGUAAAACUCUGUUAUUAGGGAAGAACAUAUGUGUAAGUAACUGUGCACAUCUUGACGGUACCUAAUCAGAAAGCCACGGCUAACUACGUG
rnacentral:rRNA from 1 species